GGGGUCUCGUAUCUCAUGUCAGAUUGACAUCAUAUUAAGAUUAGCAUUGUCCCUGCGCAAGGAUGACACGCAUAAAUUGAGACAUCAUAUAUGUAUUU